rnacentral:rRNA from 1 species
UACGGAGGGUGCAAGCGUUAUCCGGAUUCACUGGGUUUAAAGGGUGCGUAGGCGGGUUGGUAAGUCCGUGGUGAAAUCUCCGAGCUUAACUCGGAAACUGCCGUGGAUACUAUCAAUCUUGAAUACUGUGGAGGUAAGCAGAAUAUGUCAUGUAGCGGUGAAAUGCUUAGAUAUGACAUAGAACACCGAUAGCGGAGGCAGCUUGCUACACAGUAAUUGACACUGAGGCACGAAAGCGUGGGGAGCAAACAGG